rnacentral:rRNA from 1 species
GAGGUCACUGCUAUUGGGGUUCGGCUAAGCCAUGCGAGCGGAGGGCGCGGUCGCAAGAUCGUGGCCCCGCAAACGGCUCAGCAACACGUAGUCAACCUACCCUUGGGACGGGGACAAUCUCGGGAAACUGAGGCUAAUCCCCGAUAGGCGAGAGAUGCUGGAAUGCUUUCUCGCUCAAAGCUCCGGCGCCCGAGGAUGGGACUGCGGCCUAUCAGGCUGUUGGUGGUGUGAUGGACCACCAAACCUACGACGGGUACGGGCGAUGGGAGUCGGAGCCCGGAGAUGGGGACUGAGACAAGGCCCCAGGCCCUACGGGGCGCAGCAGGCGCGAAAACUCCGCAAUGCGCGCAAGCGUGACGGGGGAAUCCCAAGUGCCGUUGGUCUUUUGAUCGACGGCUUUUCGGAAGUCUAAGAAGCUUCCGGAAUAAGGGCUGGGUAAGGCUGGUGCCAGCCGCCGCGGUAACACCAGCAGCCCAAGUGGUGGCCGCGAUUAUUGGGCCUAAAGCGCUCGUAGCCGGAUCAGCAAGUCCUUUGUGAAAUCGGGCCGCCUAACGGUUCGGCGUGCAAAGGAUACUGUUGGUCUUGAGACCGGGAGAGGUCGGAGGUACUCCUGGGGUAGCGGUGAAAUGCUGUAAUCCUGGGGGGACCACCAGUGGCGAAGGCGUCCGACCAGAACGGAUUUGACGGUGAGGGGCGAAGGCUAGGGGAGCGAACGGGAUUAGAUACCCCGGUAGUCCUAGCUGUAAAGCAUGCGGGCCAGGUGUCUAGUGCUCCUCGAGGGCGCUAGGUGCCGGAGGGAAGCCGUUAAGCCCGCCGCCUGGGAAGUACGGCCGCAAGGCUGAAACUUAAAGAAAUUGGCGGGGGAGCACCACAAGGGGUGGAACCUGCGGUUC